AUUGAACGCUGGCGGCAUGCCUUACACAUGCAAGUCGAACGGCAGCACGGGUGCUUGCACCUGGUGGCGAGUGGCGAACGGGUGAGUAAUACAUCGGAACAUGUCCUGUAGUGGGGGAUAGCCCUGCGAAAGCCGGAGUAAUACCGCAUACGAUCUACGGAGGAAAGCGGGGGGCCUUCGGGCCUCGCGCUGAAGGGGUGGCCGAUGGCUGUUUAGCUAGUUGUGGGGGUAAAGGCCUACCAAGGCGACGAUCAGUAGCUGGUGUGAGAGGACGACCAGCCACACUGGGACUGAGACACGGCCCAGACUCCUACGGGAGGCAGCAGUGGGGAAUUUUGGACAAUGGGCGAAAGCCUGAUCCAGCAAUGCCGCGUGUGUGAAGAAGGCCUUCGGGUUGUAAAGCACUUUUGUCCGGAAAGAAAUCCUUGGCCCUAAUACGGUCGGGGGAUGACGGUACCGGAAGAAUAAGCACCGGCUAACUACGUG
rnacentral:rRNA from 1 species